rnacentral:tRNA from 1 species
UCCGGGGUAGUUCAGUGGCAGAACACUCGGCUUGUUACCGAGAAGGCGCUGGUUCAACCCCAGCCCCCGGACCCA